UCUACGGGAGGCAGCAGUGGGGAAUAUUGGGCAAUGGCCGAAAGGCUGACCCAGCAACGCCGCGUGGUGGAUGAAGCCCUUCGGGGUGUAAACACCUUUUCUGGGGGAAGAUAAUGAC
rnacentral:rRNA from 1 species